rnacentral:rRNA from 1 species
AUUGAACGCUGGCGGCAGGCCUAACACAUGCAAGUCGAGCGGAUGAAGGGAGCUUGCUCCUGGAUUCAGCGGCGGACGGGUGAGUAAUGCCUAGGAAUCUGCCUGGUAGUGGGGGAUAACGUCCGGAAACGGGCGCUAAUACCGCCUACGUCCUGAGGGAGAAAGUGGGGGAUCUUCGGAACUCACGCUAUCAGAUGAGCCUAGGUCGGAUUAGCUAGUUGGUGGGGUAAAGGCCUACCAAGGCGACGAUCCGUAACUGGUCUGAGAGGAUGAUCGGUCACACUGGAGCUGAGACACGGUCCAGACUCCUACGGGAGGCAGCAGUGGGGAAUAUUGGACAAUGGGCGAAAGCCUGAUCCAGCCAUGCCGCGUGUGUGAAAAAGGUCUUCGGAGUGGAAAGCACGUUAAGUUGGGAGGAAGGGCAGUAAGUUAAUACCUUGCUGUUUUGACGUUACCAACAGAAUAAGCACCGGCUAACUUCGUG